rnacentral:lncRNA from 1 species
GUACAUCUUGACACUCGGGACAAUUUAUCUUGUGAUCCUCCAGAAAGAGAAGAGAGAGUGGAGCCUAAUUUUUUCCUUCUCACAACUCUGCCACCCUUGCCUCCAUUGCAAAGAAGGAAAUCCUCACAAAGGCUUUGACGUGUUUCUUACAAAAUAAGGUGGUAAAAACUGAAGCCAAAGGCAUCUAUUUCCAAGAAGAUUAGCCAGAAUCAGAAAAUUCCUAGUUAUUAUUAUUAGAAGCCCUUAUGCAUUCACCAGUUGGAGAAGUGAGAUAUGAGAUUUGAUGCAACUUGAUAUCAAGACUCCAAUGGAAAAGUCUAUUAAAAAAAAACGCAUUUGUGUGCAAAGAUCUGAAUGUAAUGUGCACAGCUCUACUUAUACACACAGAUGGCAAAAUCAGCGGUUUGUAUUUUGGUUGAUUACAACAGAACAUGAAGUUUAAGAAUGAAAUAGACACAGAGAAUACUUCCUCUUGAUUUAGGAU